rnacentral:rRNA from 1 species
CUGAACGCUGGCGGCGUGGCUAAGACAUGCAAGUCGCACGGGGUAGCAAUACCCAGUGGCGAACGGGUGAGUAAUGAAUCGCUAAUGUACCCCGGACUCUGGGAUAGCUGCCCGAAAGGGCAGGUAAUACCAGAUGAGACCACGAUCAGGCAUCUGAUUGUGCUCAAAGGUCCGCCGGUCUGGGAGCAGGCGAUUUCGUAUCAGCUUGUUGGUGAGGUAACGGCUCACCAAGGCGACGACGCGUAGCCGGACUGAGAGGUUGGCCGGCCACAUUGGGACUGAGACACUGCCCAGACUCCUACGGGGGGCUGCAGUAACGAAUCUUCCGCAAUGCACGAAAGUGUGACGGAGCGACGCCGCGUGUAGGAGAAGCCCUUCGGGGUGUAAACUACUGUCAGGGGUUAGAAAGUUCUGAUCAACCCCAGAGGAAGGCACGGCUAACUCUGU